GAACCAGUACCGUGAGGGAAAGGCGAAAAGAACCCCUGUGAGGGGAGUGAAAUAGAACCUGAAACCGUGUACGUACAAGCAGUAGGAGCCUACUUGUUAGGUGACUGCGUACCUUUUGUAUAAUGGGUCAGCGACUUAUAUUUUGUAGCGAGGUUAACCGAUUAGGGUAGCCGUAGGGAAACCGAGUCUUAACUGGGCGAAUAGUUGCAAGGUAUAGACCCGAAACCCGGUGAUCUAGCCAUGGGCAGGUUGAAGGUUGAGUAACAUCAACUGGAGGACCGAACCCACUAACGUUGAAAAGUUAGGGGAUGACCUGUGGCUAGGAGUGAAAGGCUAAUCAAACCGGGAGAUAGCUGGUUCUCCCCGAAAUCUAUUUAGGUAGAGCCUCGGACGAAUACUUACGGGGGUAGAGCACUGUUAAGGCUAGGGGGUCAUCCCGACUUACCAACCCUUUGCAAACUCCGAAUACCGUAAAGUACUAUCCGGGAGACACACGGCGGGUGCUAACGUCCGUCGUGAAGAGGGAAACAACCCAGACCGCCAGCUAAGGUCCCAAAGUCAUAG
rnacentral:rRNA from 1 species